CGUAGGGGGCAAGCGUUGUCCGGAUUUAUUGGGCGUAAAGAGCGUGUAGGCGGCCAGGUAGGUCAGCUGUGAAAACUCGAGGCUCAACCUCGAGAUGUCGGCUGAAACCAUCUGGCUAGAGUCCGGAAGAGGAGAAUGGAAUUCCCGGUGUAGCGGUGAAAUGCGCAGAUAUCGGGAAGAACACCCGUGGCGAAGGCGGUUCUCUGGGACGGUACUGACGCUGAGACGCGUAAGCGUGGGGAGCGAACAGGAUUAGAUACCCUGGUAGUCCACGCCGUAAACGAUGGGAACUAGGUGUGGGCGGUGUCGACUCCGUCCGUGCCGAAGCUAACGCAUUAAGUUCCCCGCCUGGGGAGUACGGCCGCAAGGCUA
rnacentral:rRNA from 1 species